rnacentral:rRNA from 1 species
AUGCACGCUGGCGGCGUGCCUCAUUCCUUCCAGUCGAGCGCACAGACGAGGAGCUUGCUCCUCUGACGUUAGCGGCGGACGGGUGAGUAACACGUGGAUAACCUACCUAUAAGACUGGGAUAACUUCGGGAAACCGGAGCUAAUACCGGAUAAUAUAUUGAACCGCAUGGUUCAAUAGUGAAAGACGGUUUUGCUGUCACUUAUAGAUGGAUCCGCGCCGCAUUAGCUAGUUGGUAAGGUAACGGCUUACCAAGGCAACGAUGCGUAGCCGACCUGAGAGGGUGAUCGGCCACACUGGAACUGAGACACGGUCCAGACUCCUACGGGAGGCAGCAGUAGGGAAUCUUCCGCAAUGGGCGAAAGCCUGACGGAGCAACGCCGCGUGAGUGAUGAAGGUCUUCGGAUCGUAAAACUCUGUUAUUAGGGAAGAACAAAUGUGUAAGUAACUAUGCACGUCUUGACGGUACCUAAUCAGAAAGCCACGGCUAACUACGUG